AACGUAGGACGCAAGCGUUAUCCGGAGUUACUGGGCGUAAAGGGCAGGCAGGCGGGUCGAUAAGUCGGAUGUGAAAUCUCCCUGGCUUAACCGGGAGAGUGCAUUUGAGACUGUCAACCUGGAGGGCAGCAGAGGAGCGUGGAAUUCCGGGUGGAGUGGUGAAAUGCGUAGAGAUCCGGAGGAACACCAGUGGCGAAGGCGACACGCCGGGCCGUACCUGACACUGAUGCGCGACAGCAUGGGGAGCAAACAGG
rnacentral:rRNA from 1 species